AUCUUGGAUUUUCGGUUCAUAGUACUAUUCCAAUAACGGAAACUAAUAGAAAGCGAGGGGAAAGCUAACAGCGGCAAUGUUAACGCA